AACGAACGCUGGCGGCAUGCCUAACACAUGCAAGUACGAACGAACUCUUCGGAGUUAGUGGCGCACGGGUGCGUAACGCGUGGGAAUCUGCCCUUGGGUACGGAAUAACUCAGAGAAAUUUGUGCUAAUACCGUAUAAUGUCUUCGGACCAAAGAUUUAUCGCCCAAGGAUGAGCCCGCGUAAGAUUAGCUAGUUGGUGGGGUAAAAGCCUACCAAGGCGACGAUCUUUAGCUGGUCUGAGAGGAUGAUCAGCCACACUGGGACUGAGACACGGCCCAGACUCCUACGGGAGGCAGCAGUGGGGAAUAUUGGACAAUGGGCGAAAGCCUGAUCCAGCAAUGCCGCGUGAGUGAUGAAGGCCUUAGGGUUGUAAAGCUCUUUACCCGGGAUGAUAAUGACAGUACCGGGAGAAUAAGCUCCGGCUAACUCCGUGCCAGCAGCCGCGGUAAU
rnacentral:rRNA from 1 species